GACGAACCGUGCGAACGUUGUUCGGAAUCACUGGGCUUAAAGGGCGCGUAGGCGGGCCGCCAAGUCAGGGGUGAAAUCCUCCGGCUCAACCGGAGAACAGCUUUUGAUACUGGCGGCCUCGAGGGGGGUAGGGGCAUGUGGAACUUCCGGUGGAGCGGUGAAGUGCGUAGAUAUCGGAAGGAACGCCCGUGGCGAAAGCGAGGUCCUGGACGCCUACUGACGCUGAGACGCGAAAGCCAGGGGAGCGAACGGG
rnacentral:rRNA from 1 species